rnacentral:rRNA from 1 species
AUAGGCCUACGGGGCGCAGCAGUGAGGAAUAUUGGUCAAUGGACGAGAGUCUGAACCAGCCAAGUAGCGUGAAGGAUGACUGCCCUAUGGGUUGUAAACUUCUUUUAUAUGGGAAUAAAGUUUUCCACGUGUGGAAUUUUGUAUGUACCAUAUGAAUAAGGAUCGGCUAACUCCGUGCCAGCAGCCGCGGUAAUACGGAGGAUGCGAGCGUUAUCCGGAUUUAUUGGGUUUAAAGGGUGCGCAGGCGGAUUUUUAAGUCAUCGGUCAAAUCGUGGGGCUCAACCCCAUCC